GGUUGUAGCUUAGUUGUAGAGCACUUGGCUAAAAUAUAUGAAGCCCUGGGUUCAAUCCCCAGUAAUACA
rnacentral:tRNA from 1 species